AUGAACAGCUUUUCAGACAAACCUGCUCACAUUCUUUCAAGCUGGCGCCCACUGCACCCCGAGCAUUGUCAGGUAGCCUCACGCCUGCCAUGGUAUAGAACUUAUCAGGCUUGGUCUGUGCGGAGCUCGAGUUGAUCUGGCACUGCAAUGGUACGUUCCUCCUGCACCCACCACUGUAAUCCUGAAGAUCCCAAUCACUCUGGACCUUCUGGCUGA
rnacentral:rRNA from 1 species